AGAGAGUAAAAACUCUCCUAUUAUAAUAUAGAUUUUGUUAGAAGAUAAAGAUCAAAACAAGAUAAUUAUCCAUCCUGGACACUUGUCUCAUUCUUGGAGAUUAUGUAUUAGUCAUCAUCCAGAUGUCAUUCUAAUUGUUUUGCCUUAUCUUUAAUGUUUAUAAAAUCACCGACUUGUAUCAACUAUAAAUAGGAGUGAUGACACUUUGUUAUAGACAAUCUGAAAUAAAAAGAAAGACAUUAGUUUUUCACUCUCUCUCACUCAUACAACACAAACACACCACCACAUAUAAUAACAUAAUUAUUUACAAUACGUUAUCAGCAUGAAGCACUGACCAACUGAGAUUUAUUAUUUUGAAAGUUUUUAAACCAGCCGAGGCUAUGCCUUCACGAUCAGGUGAUCACAUGGUAGGAUUUGCCUCCGUGAAUUGAAAAAAAAGGAUCACGUGGUAGGCUUCGCCUCCGUGAAUUGAAAAAAAAAGGGUCACGUGGUAGGCUUUACCUCCGUGAAUUGAAAAAAAAAAAAGGUUACGUGGAAGGCUUUGCCUCCGUGAAUAAAAAGAAAAGGUAAAAAAUGGUAGACCAAGUCUCCUCGGACCUUGAAAUAAGCAAAAGUCAAAAUGGUAGACCAUGUCUCCUCGGACUUUGAAAAAAAAUGAUCAAUAUGGCAGUCUUUGACUCCUCGGAUCAUGUGGUAGGCUGAGCCUCCCGAUUUUAUUUAUGCUAUUUAAAUUUUUGCAAUUUAAUUUAUGCAUUUAUUUUAUGCUUUUAAUUUCUGCAUUUAAAUUCUCAUCUUUAUUAUAAUAUUAUUCUAUGAAUAAUGUUAUCAUGUGAGUUUUGACAAAGCUCAAAAUAGAUGCCCUUGGUAUUACGAGAAAUAAUUAUAAGACUUGGGCAGUGGGUGCAAAGAUGCACCUGAGAGAAAAUGAGCUUUGAGAAAUCAUCGAUAAGUUGAAACGAUAUCGGAUGAGAAAAGAAUAAAGCCACGAUAAUUUACACCACUUCAAUGAUGGUUUAUAAGAUGAGGUGUAUCAUGAGAAAAGAUCUAGAAGAUCUUUGAAUAAUUAAAUCUUUGAAAGAAAGGAUUCAAUAAAUAGUUGGAGUUGAUGAAAAUCCUCCUUGAAUACUGAAAAAAAAAAGAAAAUGAAAUCAUGAUACUAAACCAUCAAGUCGGUCCUAUUAGAAAAGUACAAGGGUGUAGAUGCGGUUGAAACCCCCUAUCGUGGUCGUGGAAGUGGACGAGGAAGAAUAUUCCGUCCAUGCGAAAUAAUUAGAACUUCCACGAAAAUAAAAGUGGUCGGGUGAUAAAAGGCAAACAUAAAAGGUUUGCUAUAGAUACGGCUAGAAAGAAAAUUGGGUAUGUAGUUGUCGUAUGCCAAAU
rnacentral:lncRNA from 1 species